CAUCUUUUCUCGUUAGUUUUUGAAGUAUGGCCUGCCCACUGACUUUGGUGUUGAAGGGCCGCGGUAUUUUGACCGUGCAAAGGUAGCAUAGUCAUUAGUUCUUUAAUUGUGAUCUGGUAUGAAUGGCUUGACGAGGCAUGGGCUGUCUUAAUUUUGAAUUGUUUAUUGAAUUUGGUCUUUGGGUUAAAAUUCUUAGAUGUUUUUAUGGGACGAGAAGACCCUAUAGAGUUUAACAUUUGUUAUAGUCCCUUUCUGUUUGUGAGGGUUCAUUGGGCCGUUAAAUAUGUUUUGUUGGGGUGAUGGGAGGGAUUAUUUAACCCCUCCUUUUGUUAUUAUAUUUAUUUAUAUUUACUUGAUCCAUUUAUUUUGAUUGUAAGAUUAAAUUACC
rnacentral:rRNA from 1 species